GUUUGGGAUAGCUCAGUUGAUAGAGCAUGAGACCCUUAAUCUCAUGGUUUGAGCCCCACCUUGGGCA